rnacentral:rRNA from 1 species
UGGCGGCGUGGAUAAGACAUGCAAGUCGAACGGGAUACUGGUAGCAAUACUGGGUUCUAGUGGCGGACGAGUGAGUAACACGUGAGCAACCUGCCCGAAAGUGGGGAAUAGCCCGAGGAAACUCGGAUUAAUACCGCAUGCGAUCCAGCAGGACAUCCUGCAAGGAUUAAAGAGCUGGGGAUCGUAAGACCUGGCGCUUUCGGAUGGGCUCGCGGCCUAUCAGCUUGUUGGUGAGGUAAUAGCUCACCAAGGCUACGACGGGUAACUGGUCUGAGAGGAUGAUCAGUCACACUGGAACUGAGACACGGUCCAGACACCUACGGGUGGCAGCAGUCGAGAAUCAUUCACAAUGGGGGAAACCCUGAUGGUGCGACGCCGCGUGGAGGAUGACGGCCCUAGGGUUGUAAACUCCUGUCAUCAGAGAGUAACGUUGUACAGUUAAUAACUGUGCAAUUUGAUAGUAUCUGAAGAGGAAGGGACGGCUAACUUCGUGCCAGCAGCCGCGGUAAUACGAAGGUCCCAAGCGUUGUUCGGAAUUACUGGGCGUAAAGCGUGUGUAGGCGGCGAAGUAAGUCAGAUGUGAAAUCCCGGGGCUCAACCUCGGAACUGCAUCCGAUACUGCUUUGCUAGAGGACUGGAGGGGGGUCUGGAAUUCUCGGUGUAGCAGUGAAAUGCGUAGAUAUCGAGAGGAACACUAGUGGCGAAGGCGAGACCCUGGACAGAUCCUGACGCUGAGACACGAAGGCUAGGGUAGCGAACGGGAUUAGAUACCCCGGUAGUCCUAGCAGUAAACGGUGCACGCUUGGUGUGGCGGGAUUCGAACCCCUUCCGUGCCGGAGCUAACGCGUUAAGCGUGCCGCCUGGGGAGUACGGCCGCAAGGCUAAAACUCAAAGAAAUUGACGGGGACCCGCACAAGCGGUGGAGUAUGUGGCUUAAUUCGAUGCAACGCGAAGAACCUUACCUAGGCUUGACAUGCAUCACUAAUCGCGUGAAAGCGCGUGAGGGUAGCAAUACCCAUUUUGCACAGGUGCUGCAUGGCUGUCGUCAGCUCGUGUCGUGAGAUGUUUGGUUAAGUCCAGCAACGAGCGCAACCCCUGUGAAUAGUUGCCAGCGCGUAAUGGCGGGGACUCUAUUCAGACUGCCCAGAUCAACUGGGAGGAAGGUGGGGACGACGUCAAGUCAGUAUGGCCCUUACGCCUAGGUCUGCACACGUACUACAAUGCUCAGCACAAUGUGAACCGAUCCCGCGAGGAGGAGGAAAUCUACAAAACUGGGCCCAGUUCGGAUUGGAGGCUGCAACUCGCCUCCAUGAAGUUGGAAUCGCUAGUAAUGGCACAUCAGCUACGGUGCCGUGAAUACGUUCCCGGGUCUUGUACACACCGCCCGUCACAUCAUGGAAGCCGGCAGCACCCGAAGUGUCUGCGCUAACCGCAAGGAGGCAGGGAACUAAGGUUUA